CCGUUCAUUCGGAACUGAUGAAAAUGUGAUGGGCUGACGGGUGCGAUUCAGAUGUAUGCGGUCUGCUUGUAGUGUCCAGCUUGGGCAGCGUAAUUACGCAUAUACGGUCUACUUCCGUACUCCCAAUUUCGUAUACGCCGUUCACUACGAAUACACCGUACGCCGCCGCUUCCACAGUUCCACGUAAAAACGCGCAGGCCAGGCCCCGCGGCUCCAUCGUGCUCCCAUUUCGCUUCCUUUCCCCUACCGCAUCGAUGGACCACGCGCCAGCGCCCCCUUUCGCCGUGCACCUCGUCACCGGCGGCGGAUCCUCGUCGGGGAUCGCCCUCCUACUGCGCUCCCUCGCCGCCGCCCGUGUCGUCGCUCUUGACGCAGAGUGGAAGCCGCGCCGCCGCGGUAGCCCUGCCGCUGCCGACCCUGCGGCCCUGGGCGACGACACGACGCCGGCGUCCGAGACAUCUCCAGCGCCGCCGAAGUUCCCGACGGUGACGCUGCUCCAGGUGGCCUGCCGCUUCAGCGAUGGUGGUGGAGGUGAGGGCGAGCGCAGCGAGGUGUUUGUCGUCGACCUGCUUUCCGUGCCGCUCGCCGACCUGUGGGCACCGCUGCGAGAGCUGUUCGAGCGGCCUGAGACGCUCAAGCUGGGGUUCAGGUUUAAGCAGGACCUGGUGUACCUCUCCUCCACCUUCUCCGCCGCCCUCGGGUGCGAUUCCGGAUUCGAUAGGGUGGAGCCUUUCUUGGAUGUCACCAACAUUUAUUACUAUCUCAAGGGCCAUGAUAGGCAGAAGAAGCUUCCAAAGGAGACCAAGAGUUUGGCAACUAUUUGUGAGGAGCUGCUUGGUAUCCUUUUGUCCAAGGAACUCCAGUGUAGUGAUUGGUCAUGCCGCCCCUUAAGUGAAGGGCAAAUACAAUAUGCUGCGUCGGAUGCCUACUACUUGCUAGACAUAUUUGAUUUGUUCCAAAAAAGGAUCACAAUGGAAGGAAAAUGUUCAUCUACAACAGAACUUACUUCAGACAGGCAUUGCUCAUCAGUGGUGAUAGAAUGCUCUUCUUCUGGAUAUGGCAUUUGCUCGGGUAGUUGUUUGAUGUCCAUAGUAACCAAGUACAGUGAGAAGAUAAUAUUGACAGAAUCUGAUGCAAAACCGCGUACCUCCAGACGAAAAGAAAAACUGAAGAUUCCUGCCAAUGCCAAACGCAAAGAUAAUGUGGAUUGCAGUAGUGAAUGGCAGGGUCCCCCUCCAUGGGAUCCUUCCAUUGGUGGGGAUGGGUACCCAAAGUUCUUGUGUGAUGUGAUGAUUGAGGGCCUAGCUAAGCACUUGCGAUGUGUUGGAAUAGAUGCUGCAAUUCCAUCUUCAAAGAAACCUGAACCAAGGGAUCUAUUAAAUCAAACAUACAAGGAAGGAAGAAUAUUAUUAACACGGGAUGCCAAGCUCUUGAAAUAUCAAUAUUUAGCUGGUAACCAGGUAUACAGAGUGAAAAGCCUGCUCAAACAUGAUCAACUAGCUGAGGUACCAGUUAUCACCUGUGAACUGGUAGCACAUAUCAGGAGUCUCUGACUGAGAAUUGUAUUGUUACGCAGGAAGCUCUUUAAAGGUCAUUAAUAUCUUCCAAUUAAAGAUUUCUGAGGACCAACUUAUGUCGAGGUGCACAAAAUGCAAUGGUAGCUUUAUUCAGAAACCACUUACCCUAGAGGAAGCUGUUGAAGCCUCAAAAGGUUUCCAGAUUAUUCCCACGUGCUUGUUCAACCGAAAUCUGGAGUUCUGGAAGUGCACCGAUUGCAACCAACUCUACUGGGAGGGGACUCAGUACCACAAUGCAGUCCAAAGGUUCUUGUCAGUGUGCAACAUUAGUGACUAAGCAGCACGUACGGCCUUGGUACUCAUUUGUAAAAUUGUAAGGUACUGAGAUACCAUCACCUCCGAAAGAUCGAAAAUAAUCUGAUCUUUGGCAUCCACUCGUGCACGAUGAGGCAUGCCAUCCAUUUUUAGUGGUUUGCUGUUCGUCACUGAGAUGCUGUUGUAAGGAAAAUAGACCUUGACUUAUUUGAUUAAUGGACUUUGCUCCAUGCACAUCCAAGAGGAAAGGUUCUAGA